rnacentral:rRNA from 1 species
UACGUAGGGUGCAAGCGUUAAUCGGAAUUACUGGGCGUAAAGCGUGCGCAGGCGGCUAUGCAAGACAGAUGUGAAAUCCCCGGGCUCAACCUGGGAACUGCAUUUGUGACUGCAUGGCUAGAGUACGGUAGAGGGGGAUGGAAUUCCGCGUGUAGCAGUGAAAUGCGUAGAUAUGCGGAGGAACACCAGCGGCGAAGGCGGGUAGCUGGGCCAACACUGACGCUGAUGCGCGAAAGCUAGGGUAGCAAACGGG